rnacentral:lncRNA from 15 species
GUCGUCAUAUUAAACCUUUCUUACCAGUUGUUCAUUACAGUAUGUUCUUUGUUGUUUUGUUUAUGUUGGUUUUUUUUUUCCUACAUGUUUUUCAGCAUGGUUUAAAUCAAACAUUAUCUCCCUCAGUGACAGAAAUAUAAAUGAAGCAACCAGGAGGAAGUGACAGGUCGGUUUCAUCACGAAUAAAGACAUCUCUGUGCGUAAGGAAACAGUAGUCCACUUAUAUUAGACACUGGCAGGUAGAGACAGGGCACAAUGGCUCGUUUCAGGUGGACUCAAAUCGCACUGUUUCUGAUGCUGCUUCAUUUGAAAGCUAUAACUGGACAAAUUCGCCCCAUCACUGUCAGAGAUGGAGAUGAGGUCACUUUGACUUGUGAAAAUGUGAUACAGGAUCAGGAUGAAUGUAACCGUACCACCUGGAUCUUCAUUUAUGUUGCCUCACCAAAAGUAGAGUUGGUUACACUGGGGCAGAUUGGUGAACAAGCCAAAGAUAAAUCAGACAGACUGAGUGUUACAGCGAACUGUUCUCUGGUUAUAAAGAAUGUCACAUUUGAGGAUGCUGGUCAAUACAACUGCAGACAGGUUGCACCAAUACGGCCUCAAAACUAUUAUCUAUAUCUGUUUGUUAUCAACAUGACUGAACAUAAGGACAAUGAUGAGGUGUUGUUGUCGUGCUCUGUAUCAACAUUUGGAUUGUGUAGACACACAGUGGAUUGGCUGUACGAGGGGAAACGUGUGGCUGAAGACAAAAAAGACAUCAGGAUAUCACAUUCUGACUGCUCGGCUACUGUGACAUUUCUCACCUCUUAUCUCAAGCAUCAAGCAAGCAAUUAUCACAAGUUGUUUAAAUGUGAAGCACAUCAUCAUUACAUUGGAAAAGCGCAACUGUUUACCUUCAGCCCUCAGUCCUCAGUUGAGGAUGCAACAACAACGAUAUCAGCAGAAGCACCACCAACAACACCAACAACAACAACACAAGAGGCUCGUACAGAUUGGUCUGUUCUGAACUACAUAAUGUUGGUUAUGCGUGUGGCUGAACUCCUCCUAAUUACUGUGAUUACUGUUCUUCUCAUCAGAGCUCAAGAGAACCAGAGACCACCUGAUGACAGCACUGUUUUAAACUCAGUAAAGAGCCAAGCAGUGAGGAGUUCAGGUGCAGCAGCCAGUCAGUUGCAUCGUGAUGAAGAUGGACAUGAUGGCACAGUGAACUAUGAAA